rnacentral:lncRNA from 1 species
CUGAUCAGCUCCUCACGAAUGCUAGUUCGUUGCAGAACCCUUUCGACGGCCGAUGCUGAUCGAACUCCUUCGAUCGAUGUCUGUCGAUUCUUCGGAUGCUCUGGAUUAUCAGCAAAUAUGCUUGAGAGUUGAUGAAGCUCUUUCUCGAACCCCAGGCUAAAACCCUAGGGAACACACUGAAAACCCUGCGCCCACUUUUGUUUC